AUACGGAGGGUCCGAGCGUUAAUCGGAAUUACUGGGCGUAAAGCGUACGUAGGUGGCUUGAUUAGUCGGAUGUGAAAGCCCUGGGCUCAACCUGGGAACUGCAUUCGAUACUGGCAAACUAGAGUAUAGUAGAGGCAAGUGGAAUUCCGGGUGUAGCGGUGAAAUGCGUAGAUAUCCGGAGGAACAUCAGUGGCGAAGGCGACUUGCUGGACUAAUACUGACGCUGAGGAGCGAAAGCGUGGGGAGCAAACGGGAUUAGAAACCCCAGUAGUCC
rnacentral:rRNA from 1 species